rnacentral:tRNA from 1 species
CGGAGUAUGGCGCAGUCUGGUAGCGCACCUGCUUUGGGAGCAGGGGGUCCAAGGUUCGAAUCCUUGUGCUCCGA